UCUGUUCCUCAACUGGAAGUGCCCAUAGACCCCGAUUCAUCCUCCUGGCUCCUGCUCCACCCAGCGCCGCCACCCACUCCAUCUCCGGCCGCCGGAGCUCAUCCUCUCUCCCGGACGGGCGAACUGCUGCUCUCCUUAUCUUUCCUACCCGUCUCCCCUGACACGCCCCCAACUCGCUCUUGCUGUAGCCCUAGCUCGCACCGCCACCGCACGCCCCGCCGAUCCAAUAAUCGGAAACCACGCCCAGGAGCUCAUCCUGUGCCGCUUCUGAACCGCCUGGUUGCCGUUGCACCGAUUCCCCCAUCCCUCUGCCAUGCCUCUGCUAUCACCGUGACUCCCGCUGGCGAGGCUCCGCUCACGCCGCUGCUUUCCUCGACGGCCCCUCCCCGCCACUGCAGCGCGAUGGAUAUCGUUACCAACAUGUUGACGAACUCCUUGAUCAAUCUAUGAUCCUGAAGGACUCGCUUGGCUACCAGAUAUAUUGCAACAUGGCUUUCUCUGUUCAAUUGUUGUGGCUGUCUUUGUCUUCCUUCUAACGGAGGUGUCCUCACCUGAACUCCAAGGAAACCAAGUUACUUGGUGUGAUGGAGACCAAUACAUCAAGUUUGUAUGAUGGGAUCGUCUUCAGAAAAGAAGAUUUGUGUUGACUACUGACAAGGACAGCCACUAUGAUAGCUACUAUUCGAAGCCCAUGUUUCAUUAUGCAGUCAUGCAGGUCACAAAGGGUAAUGUAAUCAGUUUCUUCGCACAGUUGCUCAUUGUCCAAUUGAUUGGUCAGAACAAAUGUACAAGGCACUGCAGGUGGAGACUCCAAAACAUUGAUGUUUGUUCAAAUUAGCCCAAGGAAACUCUCUGCUCGCUGAACUUUGCAAGCAGAGUGAGAGGUCAAUUUCUGCAAUUUAUUGUCUAGAUAGAAGGGACAUGGGAGGUUGAGGUGAAACUGGUGAGCAGCAGCAGCGCUUCCUUGAUUGCAUGUACGACCGACAGGAGAAGGGAAAAGUGCAGGGAGCUUGGAGGUUUAUUUUACAAGGAAGAAAGGAGAGCAAUGCUGUUUUAGUUGUUGUCAGUGACGAGUUGAGAGUUUUUAUCCCAGCAAUAUUUGUACCAAGUUUUGCAAACUUACUUCCAUCAAGUCAUGCUGGACAUGAACUCCACAUGAAUCACCCUCCUUUGCAACAUAAAAAAGCAUCGAGCCCCUCUACGGAAGCCACGCCUGAAUUGCAAAUUCUGGUGCGAAAUUAUCUCACUGGAAGGCUCCAAUCUUGCCAUUCUACCAACUUCGCUGGGACGCCGACCACCCACGCUUCACCUGAGAAAAUGAACCACAACGAUGAAUGAACCACUAUUGAGGAUUUUGAUAAUCGGCCUUUAAAAAAUACAUUCUGAAUCAUGUGUUUCCAAUUCAGAUAAACUGAUAGAUGGUGAUGAAGAUCCAUCACCAACUAUCUCAACAUCAUCUCCGGUUUCUGAAGUUCUGAAAUGAUUGGUCAGAACCAGAUAGACACAUAAACCUCCGUCACCAACCAUCUCGACAUUAUCUCUGUUUUGUGAAUUGAUGAAUAAAGGAAAAGUUUCAUUAGAUUCUAAUCUGCACCUUGCUUAAAUCCUACUCCCUCCGCCCCAAAAUAAGUGCCAUUGAGUUGGUACUUUUCUGAAAUAAUCUUCUCGAGAUUUCAUGCUAACAUGUGGCUUCGUCAGUAGAUUAUGUCAGGAAAUCAAAGUCAGUUUCCUCAUUGUGGAAUUACUUCUUAUUUGCAACUGAUUGGUGUUGGACCGGAUUAUACAUGCUCCUCUAUGUGCUCUACUUAUGGAAAAUUGUACAUGGAAAUACAUAGAUUGGAAUUGAGAUUUGGAGCAAUUUGGUUGGUUUUGCUUUGUACUGAUGCUGCCAUUAUUUGUGUGGUGAUGCCAUUAUUGUACAGAGGAAAGGUACAGUGAGAGAGAUGGAUAGAAAUUGCUAGCUAUUUUUGUUGCAAUUAUUUGUUGUCGAAGCUUAU